rnacentral:rRNA from 1 species
GACAGAGGCCUCGAGCGUUAGGCGGAAUCACUGGGCUUAAAGCGUGUGUAGGCGGGCCCGUAAGUGUCUUGUGAAAUCCCACGGCUCAACCGUGGAACUGCUGGGCAUACUGCGGGUCUUGGGCCAACUAGGGGCAGCCGGAACAAGCGGUGGAGCGGUGAAAUGCGUAGAUAUCGCUUGGAACGCCGAAGGGGAAAACAGGCUGCUGGGGUUGCGCCGACGCUGAGACACGAAAGCCAGGGGAGCAAACGGG